CGUUUAAGAAAAUACGAAGCCGAUAGAGAAAUACGAUUUCAUAGCUGAGCGAAACUUGCUACCCGGAAGCGAUGUAUGGAGAAAAAAAAAUAUAGCAGCUAUGUAUAGGCUCGAGAAUAUGACAGAAAGAAAACGUUCAUAUGGAAGGAGAGAAACGUCGACAACACCUAGGCUACUGAGAGCGAGGUAGUCUCUCACAUUCGGUGGAGGGCUCUCUGCAAGAGUGAAAAGGAAAGACAAUGAUAGUUUGCAUAGGAUUCCCACACGGACGCGAGAAAAUCGUCUUGCUUCAUUUCAGAAAAAAAUACGAAGCCGAGAGAAAUGAACCUGCAGAGAGAAUCGGGAGAGAGAUGAGGAAGGGUUUUUGAUCGGGAGACUGGAACUCCACAGACAUUCUGUUGGUUAAGUUUGGCGUGAUAGCACGCAGUUUCUGCUAUUCCGGUAAUUUAUUUUAGAAAGCCGCGAUGGCGUCAAAGGGUCACGACAGGAAGAAGAACAAGAAGAAAGAACAGCUGAACUGGCUAUCAAUGAAGGUGAUUCGUAUUGACAAUUCGAAGCCUGGAAUUAUUCAGUACAAAUAUAGCCACGAUCCCGAUACGCCCUUCGCAGAGUUAGACGUGAGAAAAAUACUUGGAGGACCUGUGCCCAAUUUCCAAGAGGCAGUUCUGAAACCUAACAGGCAUGGUAUUUCUAAGUGACAUCAUGCACCUCCUUAAACACGUUCCUCCGGUACACCAUGGAUUCUAUGAGAAUUUACGAGUAGACGAAGACAGGGAUAAUGCAUUAAUUGAAUAAAAUUAAUUUCAACUUA